GUAGAGGUUGUUGUGUUAGUAUUUCCAUGGGUAGUGUUAUGAGCCAAGUGAUAGUUUGACAAGGCUUUGGUAGAGGUUGUUGUGUUAGUAUUUCCAUGGGUAGUGUUAUGAGCCUAGUGAUAGUUUGACAAGGCUUUGGUAGAGGUUGUUGUGUUAGUAUUUCCAUGGGUAGUGUUAUGAGCCUAGUGAUAGUUUGACAAGGCUUUGGUAGAGGUUGUUGUGUUAGUAUUUCCAUGGGUAGUGUUAUGAGCCUAGUGAUAGUUUGACAAGGUUUUGGUAGAGGUUGUUGUGUUAGUAUUUCCAUGGGUAGUGUUAUGAGCCUAGUGAUAGUUUGACAAGGCUUUGGUAGAGGUUGUUGUGUUAGUAUUUCCAUGGGUAGUGUUAUGAGCCUAGUGAUAGUUUGACAAGACUUUGGUAGAGGUUGUUG